rnacentral:rRNA from 1 species
AUUGAACGCUGGCGGCAUGCCUUACACAUGCAAGUCGAACGUGAAAGGGGGGCAACCCCCGAGUAGAGUGGCGGACGGGUGAGCAACACAUCGGAACGUACCCAGUAGUGGGGGACAACCUCGAGAAAUCGAGGCUAAUACCGCAUACGACCCACGGGUGAAAGCGGGGGACCGCAAGGCCUCGCGCUAUUGGAGCGGCCGAUGUCCGAUUAGCUUGUUGGUGGGGUAACGCCCACCAAGGCGACGAUCGGUAGCUGGUCUGAGAGGAUGAUCAGCCACACUGGGACUGAGACACGGCCCAGACUCCUACGGGAGGCAGCAGUGGGGAAUUUUGCGCAAUGGGGGAAACCCUGACGCAGCAACGCCGCGU